UCCGUAGGUGAACCUGCGGAAGGAUCAUUACUGAGGUCAUCGCUUCUUAGGAGGUGUUACCCGUCCUUAUGUCAUACGCACGGGCCGCGUGCAAGCUGGCGAACCCGCGAGGGGGAGCGAGUGCGUGCGCGGAACGAGACUCUGAUUUCCGCCGAGGUGGCGCGGCUCUCGAGCGAUCGAGGGAACGCGUCCGCGGCGGGCCCAACCCUUUAUACAACUCUUGUGAGUAACGAUGAAGUCUGAAGAACCAAAACAAAUGAAAAGCAAAACUUUCAACAACGGAUCUCUUGGCUCUGGCAACGAUGAAGAACGCAGCGAAACGCGAAAGGUAAUGCGAAUUGCAGAAUCAGUGAGUCAUCGAAUCUUUGAACGCACAUUGCGCCUCUAGGUAUUCCUGGAGGCACGCCUGUUCGAGCGCCAUUACACACUCCAAGCUCUGCUUGAUGUUGGACGGCCCGAGAGAUCGGACGUCUGGAACGUGUGGGCGUCGGGCGUCGGACCACGAGCGUAGCAAGACGUAACAGUCAAGUCGUUCUGUGGAGCCGGCGGUCGACCGCCUCUUUACAACUUUUACCCAUAAAGUUUGGCCUCGGAUCAGGCGGGGAUACCCGCUGAACUUAAGCAUAUCAAUAAGCGGAGGA
rnacentral:rRNA from 1 species